UUUCUGGAAAGUUCCUGGAAGGCCAAGAC
rnacentral:piRNA from 1 species